GCACUUAAAUUUUAUUUGUUUCUCUCCAUGCCUUCUUUGAAAGAGAAACCUCCAAUUUAUUUAGAAACCACUCUUGAUCAGAUCUAGUGCGCAUUGCAAAUCACUUUUUUAAGGUUGGCGACUCACCAGCGUGUCUUUUAUCAUCAACUUAUACUUACUUUGGCAAUUUUAUAACUCUUUCAAAUUCUUCUGUUUUUUUUGAAAAUCGUCCCCAACCAAUAUAAAA